UCUAGCAGCAGAGGACCCAAGAAAAAAUCUUAGAUAUCUCUCACUUUGCCUGAAUCGGCUGCCCCAUAUCCCAAAAAAAAAACUCCCAAAGGUUUUCCAUUUCCAAAGACACACCCACGAUACACAAGAAGGAACGACAGCCAUUUCCUUCCUUUUUUCACAAAAAAUCAACCACGAAAAACGGUAGCCACCCCUCUUGAGAGAAUCAUCACCUUCUUUCUCGAGAAAUUGGAAAAUACCUACGAUUCUCCUGAUUUUCGAAUGUCCAGAAUCUGAUUUUUGUCAUGACACUUGCUCCCUUGCGGAGGUUCCGUUCGAGUCACUUGAGUCCAGUUAGUGAGGUCGCCGACGAGGUCGAGAAAAUUUCAGCUUGAAGACAGGCCAAUCUCAUUGUCUUCGGUCACUUCAUCGGCAGUGCGGCGGUAACAUUUUGCUUUAGAGGCUAAAAAGGGUGCCCAGAGGAGGACCGGAAAAGAGAUGAGUCCUCUUGCAACUGACAGAUCUCAUUGCAUUUGUAAGGGAAUUUUGGAAUAUAUGCUAAUUUGGUCAUAUGUUAAAUAAUGAAAAGAAUUAAAUUUUGUGCUAUGUGUGCCUACGUGACUGUCAUGUUACCUUGUUAGUCAAUGAGUGCUUUGUCUUGCUAAUAGAAUUAAGAAUAAAUUUUUCAAUAAUAAAAGUUGAGGUAGGUUAUUAUACAGACAACUAAUUUAUUCAUUUUGAGGAGCAAGCAUGAAUGUAUGAGUGGUUUAGUAAUGGCUCCAGUCAUACUCAGACCCAUUCCUCCUUUUAUUUUAUUAAGUUUGCUAGUUCAUUA